UUUGUCGGUGAUGAAUUAUUGUUCGAGUUUCAUGACAAUGAGAAUAUCUCACAUGCACUACCAUCUGAGACACA